GUCAGAUGUGAGCGCCUUCUGUUCAACCGGAGAAUUGCAUCAGAAACUGUCGAGCUUGAGUACAGAAGAGGAGAGUGGAACUCCAUGUGGAGCGGUGAAAUGCGUAGAUAUAUGAAAGAACGCCGGCGGCGAAAGCGGCUCUCUGGUCUGUUACUGACGCUGAGGCUCGAAAGCAUGGGGAGCGAACAGGAUUAGAUACCCUGGUAGUCCAUGCCGUAAACGAUGAGUGCUAAGUGUUGGGAGG
rnacentral:rRNA from 1 species